rnacentral:rRNA from 1 species
UCACCUACGGGGGGCAGCAGUAGGGAAUCUUCCACAAUGGGCGAAAGCCUGACGGAGCAACGCCGCGUGGGUGAAGAAGGUCUUCGGAUCGUAAAACCCUGUUGUUAAAGAAGAAAGUGCGUGAGAGUAACUGUUCACGUUUCGACGGUAUCUAACCAGAAAGCCACGGCUAACUACGUGCCAGCAGCCGCGGUAAUACGUAGGUGGCAAGCGUUAUCCGGAUUUAUUGGGCGUAAAGGGAACGCAGGCGGUCUUUUAAGUCUGAUGUGAAAGACUUCGGUUUAAACGGAGUAGGG